UGGGACCCUUCAGUCUGCAGGCCGAUGCUCUAUCUACUGAGCCAAAGUGGCUAGGGCUGUGUUUGCAUUUUUAAACCAGGCAAAUUAUUCAGAUGAUAACAAACUCAACAGUUUUUUGGAGUCCCUGUACUCACAUUAUGAACAGACAUAUUUCACUAAUUUAGAUGUAGUACUCUCGAUGAGAAGGCUCAGGUUGAAAAAGGCUGGUCUCACCAAUCCAGCAUCUAGGCAAUGUGGCCAAUUUCAUCAACUCAUGUUUCCCUAAUUUGAUGUAUGUUGUGAUCCAGUGGGAAUGAGGGGAAGUUUAUAUUUGAACUGUCUGUGGGACAGGGGGAGUAAGAACUGCUUAAUUAGUGGAGUGAUUGGGGUACAAGGUGUCUCCAUAAGACAGGACGUUAUUUUCAUGCAUCAGAACUUCCUUUUACCCAUGAGUGAUCGUGCUAACUAUAAGUCAUUUAUAUCUAUACAUUAAAACAGGUUCCUCAAUUAGGCAACAUUUGGUUAGCCAAGCUCAAAUUACUAUUUGUACUUGAAAUUAAUAAAACUGCAUUUCCUUAAAAAUACACUCUGUAGUUAAGACUAUUUUCUUAUCUCCCCCUCCCCCCUACAACCAAUUCAGAGGGGACUUUUCAUAAGUGAAUGUGUUUUAGAAUGUGUUUUUAGAGAUGGAAUGGCCUGUGAUCGGAAGUGGCUCUGUCCCUUUACUUUUUCUGCAUGUACUAGAGUGUAAGCCUGACAAUAUAAUGAUUUUGGAUGAGAUCCAAGAGGGAAAACAAUAUGUUUAAAAGUAAAAUGCAAGGAAGGAAUUUUGGUGACUCUCAAGUGUAGAUGUAAAUGGAAAGGAAAAAUAAAGUACCAUUACGUAGUUCCGGGACCUUGGAAUCAUCUUCCUCUCUUUUGCCCUCUACUCAGCACAUGCCCGACUUGGUUCAUUCUUCUUAAUUUAAAUUUGUAGGACUCCUUGUCAUCAGACAUGGCCCUGUACCUUUGCUCCUCAAAAGCACCAUUAUAGGGCAGAUUUUAAUUCCUCUUUUACCAAUAAGAAAGCUGAGGCUUGGAAAAGUGGCUAAUUGCUGAGCCCCAGCUCAUCUCUUCAGACAGUUCUUGUUCUUUCUUUUCCUGGCUUUGCACUUUGACUCUUCCCCCACCCUCCUGCGAACGCCCUCUGUGCCUCUCCACCUGUCCUGGGGCUAGCCUUUAGGGCCAGCCUUCAGGACCUGGUUGACCUUCCACUACCUUUGGAGCUCUGCUGACUACCAUCCCCCACUGACUCAACCUCUUUGCCUAGGACAGUUGUGCAAUGUAUUUGGCAAUUCAUCCAAAGAGCCUUUUGCAGUUGGCAAAGCAUUAACUUUCACCCUUGAUCCAUACAUUUUUCACAAUUUAGGUGAAUACCUUGUCUCCCCAGCAUCACUGUAAGAUUGAGUUCUUACCCAAUGCUCAAUAAGUUCUUGAUGAGAUAUUCUAAUAAAUUUCGUGGAUUAUCUUAGAGGCUGUGUGUUAUGGAGAAAAAAUGACUGAGAAUAUCAGCACUGAAAAAAAAUGAAAGACCAAUUACACAAGGCUCUUCUUCUCUUAGGUCUCCUUGUUCUGCCGUAUCGAUAAACAUCUACAGUGUUCUGUGUACAUUGGGCAGAAUGUUUGAUGAUCACUCUUGAUUAGACAUAAGUAGUCCUUGCCAGUGGAAGGUCCUUGUGCUUUGUUUGCAUUUUAACCACAUGUUCUGUUCUCUUUGUGGUAAAAUAACGAUAACACCAAAUUACAGAGAAAAUUACCCAACGUUCCUUUAUUGUAAUGAUUUUUAAUAUUCACAUCUAAUCCUUACGCACAUGUGUAUAGAUUUAUGUGAUUGCAAGUCGUUGUUUUGCAUUCUGCUAUCAGAAAUGUGUUUUGAGUCUUUGCAAUUACCACAAUACUUUGUAAUACUUCUUUACUACCUAUAAUUUGAUAAACCAUUCAUAUUUUGGUGGAUAGUUUCCAGUUUUGCUGUUUAGAUAAUGCUACAGAGAAGUUCUUUGCUCAUAUUUCCUUAGAACGUGUUCCCGAGAUGAACUUAUUGGUAAAAGCAAAGGAAAUUUUUUUCUUAACAUUUUUGUUAGAAGAAAGGGCACAUAAAACACACACACACACACACACACACACACACACAGUUUACUGAAUAAUUAUAAAGUGAACACCCAACUAACCACUGCCCAGGGCAAGAAAGAACAUUUCUGAUUUCUCAGAAACCUCCUCUGUGUCCAAGAAGAAACUUGUGGUGGCUUUUGCUUCAUAUUUAUCAUGUGGCUUCCAAAUGGAUUAAAGGGACUUAUGUUGUCAU